rnacentral:rRNA from 1 species
AUUGAACGCUGGCGGCAUGCCUUACACAUGCAAGUCGAACGGCAGCGCGGACUUCGGUCUGGCGGCGAGUGGCGAACGGGUGAGUAAUACAUCGGAACGUACCCUGGUGUGGGGGAUAACUAGUCGAAAGAUUAGCUAAUACCGCAUACGACCUGAGGGUGAAAGUGGGGGAUCGCAAGGCCUCACGCAGCAGGAGCGGCCGAUGUCUGAUUAGCUAGUUGGUGGGGUAAAGGCCCACCAAGGCGACGAUCAGUAGCUGGUCUGAGAGGACGAUCAGCCACACUGGGACUGAGACACGGCCCAGACUCCUACGGGAGGCAGCAGUGGGGAAUUUUGGACAAUGGGGACAACCCUGAUCCAGCAAUGCCGCGUGUGUGAAGAAGGCCUUCGGGUUGUAAAGCACUUUUGUCCGGAAAGAAAUCUCGCUGGUUAAUACCUGGCGUGGAUGACGGUACCGGAAGAAUAAGCACCGGCUAACUACGUG